UACAGAGGUCUCAAGCGUUGUUCGGAUUCAUUGGGCGUAAAGGGUGCGUAGGCGGCGCGGUAAGUCGGGUGUGAAAUCUCGGAGCUUAACUCCGAAACUGCAUUCGAUACUGCCGUGCUUGAGGACUGGAGAGGAGACUGGAAUUUACGGUGUAGCGGUGAAAUGCGUAGAUAUCGUAAGGAAGACCAGUGGCGAAGGCGGGUCUCUGGACAGUUCCUGACGCUGAGGUGCGAAAGCGUGGGGAGCGAUCCGG
rnacentral:rRNA from 1 species